rnacentral:rRNA from 1 species
UACGAAGGGGGCUAGCGUUGCUCGGAAUUACUGGGCGUAAAGGGCUCGUAGGUGGCCAACUAAGUCAGACGUGAAAUCCCUCAGCUUAACUGGGGAACUGCGUCUGAUACUGGAUGGCUUGAGUUUGGGAGAGGGAUGCGGAAUUCCAGGUGUAGCGGUGAAAUGCGUAGAUAUCUGGAGGAACACCGGUGGCGAAGGCGGCAUCCUGGACCAACACUGACACUGAUGAGCGAAAGCCAGGGGAGCAAACGGG